rnacentral:rRNA from 1 species
AGAGUUUGAUCCUGGCUCAGAACGAACGCUGGCGGCAGGCCUAAUACAUGCAAGUCGAGCGCAUCCCUCGGGAUGAGCGGCGGACGGGUGAGUAACGCGUGGGAAUAUGCCCUUCUCUAAGGAAUAGCCUCUGGAAACGGAGAGUAAUACCUUAUACGCCCUUCGGGGGAAAGAUUUAUCGGAGAAGGAUUAGCCCGCGUUAGAUUAGGUAGUUGGUGGGGUAAUGGCCUACCAAGCCUACGAUCUAUAGCUGGUUUGAGAGGAUGAUCAGCCACACUGGGACUGAGACACGGCCCAGACUCCUACGGGAGGCAGCAGUAGGGAAUCUUAGACAAUGGGGGAAACCCUGAUCUAGCCAUGCCGCGUGUGUGAUGAAGGCCUUAGGGUCGUAAAGCACUUUCGCCAGAGAUGAUAAUGACAGUAUCUGGUAAAGAAACCCCGGCUAACUCCGUGCCAGCAGCCGCGGUAAUACGGAGGGGGUUAGCGUUGUUCGGAAUUACUGGGCGUAAAGCGCACGUAGGCGGAUUAGUAAGUUAGAGGUGAAAUCCCAGGGCUCAACCCUGGAACUGCCUUUAAUACUGCUAGUCUUGAGUUCGAGAGAGGUAAGUGGAAUUCCAAGUGUAGAGGUGAAAUUCGUAGAUAUUUGGAGGAACACCAGUGGCGAAGGCGGCUUACUGGCUCGAUACUGACGCUGAGGUGCGAAAGUGUGGGGAGCAAACAGGAUUAGAUACCCUGGUAGUCCACACCGUAAACGAUGAAUGCCAGACGUCAGCAAGUAUA